rnacentral:misc_RNA from 1 species
AUCGAUUUGUCAUUGAAUAUUGAAGAAGAAGAAGAAGAAGGAAGGAGACGACAUGUCGCGAGAAAGAUCGAGAAGAGCCAAUCUGCCUCCUGUUCAAGAGAACAUUGAGAAGUUGGAGAAAGUCAUAAAUGAGGGUAACUGCUAUGGAGCACAACAGAUGUACAAAUCAAUCAGUGCGCGAUAUUCAUCUGCUCAGAGAUAUUCUGAAGCUUUGGAUCUACUUCAUUCAGGUGCAUGCCUCCAACUUGAACAUGGACAGGUAACUUGCGGAUCAGAGCUUGCUGUAUUGUUUGUGGAGACACUUGUUAAGGGAAAAGUUCCUUAUGAUGAUGAUACACUUGAUCGCGUCAGGAAAAUCUACAAGAUGUUUCCUCAAAUUCCUCUGCCACAACACUUGGGGGACUUGGUGGAUGAUGAUGAUGUGCAACAAGAAGUACAACUCACUGAAGCCAUUAGGGCAGCAAAAACAUGUGUAGGAACUGGC